GGAGGCGGCGACGCCCCCCGACUUGAUCUGCGAAAGCUGAUCAUGCCGCCUCCGCGCCUCAUUCUCGAUGAUGCCACUUCAAAGCGAUCCGAAAGGGUCGCUU
rfam:Brevundimonas sp. KM4 contig_3, whole genome shotgun sequence.